UCACAGGGAAGCUACAAAGCAGCCGGACUUGGCGCUUAUGGAAUGGGAUAGUGGAUACUAGAAAAGGAGUAGAAUUUUCCCUGGAAGACUCUGAAUGGAUCUAGACAGGUAUUGUCCAUCAGCUCUAGCAUGAUGGGGAUGCAGGGAAGCAAAUCCAGAAGGCUGGGACAGCUAGGCGGUUGUUACAGUGGUCCCAGCCAGAGUCGGCGUAUGGAUGGUGAGAACGGAGUGGAAGGAAUGACUGGGAGAGACAGAGAAGAGGGAAGAGGAGCUGAGGGUCAGUUUCCUACACAGGUGAGGGAGAAAGUGUAACAUUGUACACUUGGAUUGCUGGAAUAAAAGGUAACAGAUGACUGAAGAUGAAACAUACCAUUAGAGACCGAAGUGGGAGGGACCUACGUGCUACUUCUAGACUUUGAGAAACAGAGCCCAAAUAUGUGGAGAAUAUCCUGAAAGAAAAAUACCUAGGAGGAGAUGGAAUUGUUGGGUCUGGAGAUCAGCUGAGGGGUGGGCUAGGUGUUAAUGACAGUGUCAUUGACAUACAAAUAGUAGUUGAAAGGCUGGAUGUGGAUAAGUUCACCCAAGAAGAUUGUCAUUAUUGAGAAGAAAUACCUCAAUAUUUCUGGACACCUGGACCAACCCCCAAACCACGAGUGGGUGGAGGAGGGGGAGCCACGGUGGAAAGGGGACAGAGACAAAUGAUGUAAGCCAAGAGCGUAACGCUUUGUAACCAGCAGUGAAUGCCCCAGAACUGUGCUCCACAACAGCCCCUGGUUUACAGUUUGAAGAGUACAGAUGGCCUACAAGGCAGCUUCCUGGAGAAGGAGAGCAGAAACAAAGGUGUCAGGCCUGCAUUGGUGCUGGAGAGCACACAGGAGCACACAGAAGCACACAGGAGAGCACACAGGAGCCAGAAGAAUGAGCCACAGAAAGCAGGGACAGGCUGGUUUACAGAACCUACAAUAUGACUGGAAGAACUCCAUCUUGCCUACAGCUGGACAGGUUCACUGCUUCGACUGGGUCACUCUAGGGUCCAUAUACCCUUAACCAAGAUCCAUUCCCACAGAAAACUGGAGAUCUGCAUACAAGAUGCCAGACAUACUGCCUUUGAAGUCAUGAGGAUCAUCAAUAUUCAAAAACUAGGGUUGCACAACUCUCAAUGAAUGCUGUUUCAAUUAACUUUGAAUGAAAGGGGGUCCCUCGAGUCACCACAGGAGGACAUUUAUAGAGUGACUGGCACCUCUAAAAAGUAUGAUUUUUGAUUGCCCUCUUUAGAUACUGAGGCCAAAAACUUUUCUUUUUUUAAUAGAAAGGUUUGGGAGCAAAUAUGAAGUGAUGAGCUGUUGAGACAUACCAAUUAAAAACCCAAACCCAAGCUGGGGAUGCAACCCAGUGGGAGGGUACUGACAGGCCCUAGGUUCAAUCUCUAGCCCAGGAAGAAACACCUAAAAUUAGAGCACUGUUCAUUUAGUGGAAUCCCUUAGAAAAUCAGCAUGGCUGCUUUGCACCCACAGAGAGAAAGGUAUACUGAGCCCCCACUUCCUUGUGGGUGCAGCCCAGGGAAAAGGAGCCUUGGGAAGAAGGUUAGGAAGUUCUUAGCAAAGGAGAAGUGCAAUCCGCAGAUGCUAGAUGCCAAAUACUAGCAGCCUAGUGCACACAGCUUAGCUUAGUGCAUGCAGCACUCACACAACAGAUGUCCUAGCAUUUGGGGCAUGGCAAGAUCUCUCCGAUGCAUCCAUGUUUGGAAGGAAUAACUAAGACUCUAAGGACAAACCCAGAAUGGGUAAUUCACUGUGAAGUUCAGCCCAUUGUUUUAUUAUUUAAAUUAGAAACAAGCUUGUUUCACAUGUCAAUCCCAGUUCCCUCUUCCUCCCCUCCUCCCCCACACCCCCAGCUAUCCAGCCCCCAACCAAUCCCACUCCCAUUCCUCCAUGGGAGACCUCCAGAAUCUGUCAUUUCGUUCAGGGCAGGGUCUAGGCCCCUCCCCCAAUAGUUCAGGCUGAGAGAGCAUCCCUCCAUGUGGAAUGGGCUCCCAAAGUUCAUUCGUACACUGU